AUUGAACGCUGGCGGCAUGCCUUACACAUGCAAGUCGAACGGUAACGCGGAGCAACCUGGCGACGAGUGGCGAACGGGUGAGUAAUGUAUCGGAACGUGCCCAAUAGUGGGGGAUAGCCCGGCGAAAGCCGGAUUAAUACCGCAUGAGACCUGAGGGUGAAAGCGGGGGAUCGCAAGACCUCGCGCUGUUGGAGCGGCCGAUAUCAGAUUAGGUAGUUGGUGGGGUAAAGGCCUACCAAGCCUGCGAUCUGUAGCUGGUCUGAGAGGAUGACCAGCCACGCUGGGACUGAGACACGGCCCAGACUCCUACGGGAGGCAGCAGUGGGGAAUUUUGGACAAUGGGCGCAAGCCUGAUCCAGCCAUGCCGCGUGCGGGAAGAAGGCCUUCGGGUUGUAAACCGCUUUUGUCAGGGAAGAAAUCUUCUGGGUUAAUACCUCGGGAGGAUGACGGUACCUGAAGAAUAAGCACCGGCUAACUACGUGUCAGCAGCCGCAGUAA
rnacentral:rRNA from 1 species